rnacentral:rRNA from 1 species
GACGGAGGGUGCUAGCGUUGUUCGGAAUGACUGGGCGUAAAGGGCGCGUAGGCGGCCGACCCAGUCGGGUGUGAAAGCCCGGGGCUCAACCCCGGAACGGCACCCGAUACUGGUUGGCUGGAGACCGAGAGAGGUGAGUGGAAUACCCAGUGUAGAGGUGAAAUUCGUAGAUAUUGGGUGGAACACCGGUGGCGAAAGCGGCCUUCUGGACAGUGACUGACGCUGAGACGCGAAAGCGUGGGGAGCAAACAGG